GUGACCCCAGUUCAGGCGAGGCUACCCGCUA
rnacentral:rRNA from 1 species